AGAAGUGGUGUAGUUUGGCACGUCGGUUUUUGAUACCAAUAGAAGUCUUUCAAAAGGCUCUCCUCUAAU
rnacentral:tRNA from 1 species